ACACACACACACACACACACACACACACACACUCUCGCUCUCUUUUUUUUUUAAGCUCUCUGUUAUUAUUUUCUGGUAAUUCUCGAGUGUUUCUGUGAGUCUCUCGCCCUCUCAGUGUUUUGAUUGCUAGGAGGAAAACCAACGUGGAGGCGACGGCGACACUUUGUUUACUACUGAGGAGCAGAGACGAGUACUCGGGAAGCCCGAGUGGAACGAGUCGCUCGCUUCGCCUCGACCUCCGCUCGGGGCCCAAAGCGGGGCCUGGCGGGGGCCGGGGACGCUCAGCGCUCCGGGGGCGCUGGGUGGGCGGGCGGGCGGAGGCGGCCUCGCUGCAUUCUGCUCAAUCACCACCUCUCGACUCUGCCCACGAUUUCUUUGCAGAGAAACGUGGGGAAGUCGGUGGGUUUUGUUUUUGUUUUGUUUUGUUUUCCUUUCCCUGCGACGUGUCGAGUCCUCCGGCCCCCGUGCGAGCCGCACACGCCACCCGGAGCAGGGGCUCUGACGGUCAAGUCCGCGCGGAGGACGCAGUCGCUGCAGCUUCCGCGCCGGGAACCCACCUGUCCGCACCCGCGGGCUGAGUCUCUGCGGUUGGGUGUAGACGGGGGCCAGUUGUCCAGCCCAGCAGCCACCAGCCGGGUUCACUCCAUUCUUGACUUAACUAGAAGUGAGGGAAGGGAGCUCGGCACGGGCCGAAGAUGGUCCUAUCUCACACGCACCAUCGGGCCCAAAGGCAUCCUCAUCCUCGUGCCCUCUUCCCUUGGGCGGGAAUCUCAGACUCUGUCCACUGAGUCAGUCCGGGGCGACGGGGAAGGGGUCAGAGGAGAGCAUUUAGUGAGAGCCUUGUCACUUUAUUACUUACCCUAAUUAAGUUUAACCGUCUGCUUGCCAUUUCUUUGCUAUUUAGAAUGGAAGUGCUGAGGUGUUGAGAAGUGAAAACGGAAGAGGGGAGAGGACCAGAGCCUUGGGGUGCAGCCCUGCCCCACUCGCAGGUGUUCCUUUAGGCUGCUUGCUCCGUGCGUCCAUCAACCCACCCCACCUUUCCCCAUCUGGGCUCCAGGUCCAGGACGUCCUGCCGAGAUCGGUGGGGCAAAAGACACAAACCGACAAGGCCUGGGGAAAGGAGCAGAAUGCCUCCACCUGGAUAGGAAAACAAAUCACGUGUGUCCCUCGCUCAUCUCCAGCCAAGGCUAUAGUGAAUUGAAGUACUCAGACAUAUACAGAAGGAUAUGUAUAAAAAGAUUCACUACAGCUCCAUCCAUCAACAGGAAAAUGAAACUACACUUUCUCAGAAACGAGGUCAAAUCUAAGAUAAAUUCCUUUGGAGUUUGGACACUCAAGAUUCUGAUGAACUUAAAUGUUUCUCUGCUGAUGACAAUGUACUGCCAAUUCAUGCUUUUCUAUGAUCCUAUUUGGGGGUUCCUAGAAAAUACACAGUAUCUUCAUGAAUAUUUUAAGAUUUAAAGAUGUUAUAGUAUAGAAGAGAAAAUAGUUAUAAUAGCAAAUCCCCUCACAAUAUCGUUGUUGUAGAAACAGGGAUGAUGAUGGUGACAAUGCUUUACUUGUAUAAUGAGUUGUUUCUCAGAAGAAUCCCAUAAAAUAAUCCUAUUAUCAUUCCCGUCAUUUUAUAAGAGGGAGGAAGUGAGGCUUGGAGAGAUGAAGACUCACUCAGAAACUUGAUCUCUAACCACCACACUCACUGUCUCUCCUAAGUCAAGUCACAUAUUCUACCUCAAUACUGGGUUUUAAAACCAUACCUUGAACCAUGAGGACCUGGAACACCCAACUUUCAUCAAAUAUGGAACAAAGUCUUCCCUUAAUAUCAUAGAUUGUAUUUUGUUAGUUUUUUUUUUUGCUACUUUUAAAAUUCUGUCAUCAUACAGGAGGGUAAAAGAACUAACAUUUAUUCCUAUGUAUUAUAUGCCAAGAACUGUGCUGAGCAACUCAAUAUCUUAUCGAAUUCUUACAUUCUUCCAGGGAGGUAUCCUUCAUUUUACAGACGAGAAAACUAAGGCUCAGGAGGUUAAAUAAUUUCCUCAAAGGCAAAUGGCGACUAACUGACUUAGCUGGACUCUGUACUCAGGCUUACACAAAUAAAAGUCCUUGGUUUU